GUACCAUGUCCUCAUUGGCCAGUGCCAACUUUCCCACCUUGCCAGCCAUACUGAAGCAGACAAACACGAACUGGUACCAGUCUUCUAGAUGACAACCCGUCUAUAUGGUAGUUUCUACAGACACGUGGCAAGGGAGAAAAAGAACCUGCCUCUUCAUAAUGACCCGAAGACUCCACCCAAGAAGAGGGAGAAUAAGAAACCAGAUGGUUGCUAUCACUUUGGAGAGCCGCAACAGUUGUAAAAGAACUGCCAUAAGCUGGGCCCUUUUCCACCUUGGAUGUACCCUGACUGUAAACACUGGGAAGACACUAGAAAUUAAACUGCCCUCUCCUCUGAAGUGGGGAGAGUCCCUUUGCUCCCAUGCUGACUGCCUUAGAGAAUUGAAGGUACUCAAAGUCCCUCUCAACAAAGUGGACAUCACCCUGGGUAAGCCUCAGGUGAUUAUUGAUGUGGAGACUGGAUAAAGAUACGUGUGUGUGUGUGUCUGUGUGUGUGUGUGUGUCUGUGUGUGUGUUUUAAAUAAAAUGGAAUGCUACUCAGCCAUAAAGAAUGAGAAACUAGAGAGAUUUAUAGCUAAGUGGAUGCACAUUGAGGCCAUAUGCUUAAGUGAAAUUAAUAAGUCACACAUGUGUAAAUACCGAAUAGUUUCUCUGGUGUGAAAAAGUUAAAGUGUAAAUAAGGAUUAAAAUAUAUAAUUGACAUUGUGUAAUAGGAAGAAAACUCUAAAAGAGUAGAGGAAGUGGGAGGGGGAGGGGAAAGGGAAAAAGGGCAAAGAAAAAAUAUGUGAAAAGGAAAAACAUGGAAACAAUGUUUUUGUAAACAGGGAAGGGUGGAGGGGCUGAAGGAGGACUGGGGAAUGGGGAAAAAUAAGAACCUGAUAAGUCAUGUAUAGGUACAAGAUCCCGG
rnacentral:lncRNA from 1 species